UCAGGAUGAACGCUAGCUACAGGCUUAACACAUGGCAAGUCGAGGGGCAGCACUAGGUAGCAAUACUGAGGUGGCGACCGGCGCACGGGUGCGUAACGCGUAUCCAACCUUCCCGAUACUCUUGGAUAGCCUUCCGAAAGGGAGAUUAAUACAAGAUGGUGUUUCAGUUUCGCAUGUUAUUGAAACUAAAGAUUUAUCGGUAUCGGAUGGGGAUGCGUGACAUUAGAUAGUAGGCGGGGUAACGGCCCACCUAGUCUACGAUGUCUAGGGGUUCUGAGAGGAAGGUCCCCCACACUGGAACUGAGACACGGUCCAGACUCCUACGGGAGGCAGCAGUGAGGAAUAUUGGUCAAUGGACGAGAGUCUGAACCAGCCAAGUAGCGUGCAGGAUGACGGCCCUCUGGGUUGUAAACUGCUUUUAGUUGGGAAUAAAAAGAGGGACGUGUCCCUAAUUGUAUGUACCAUCAGAAUAAGGACCGGCUAAUUCCGUG
rnacentral:rRNA from 1 species